rnacentral:lncRNA from 1 species
UAAGAAAAUAAUGAGGCCAGGUGCAAUGGAUCAUGCCUGUAACCCAAGAAUUUUGGGAGGCUGAGGCGGGCAGAUGGCUUGAGCUCAGGAGUUAGAGACCAACCUGGGCAACAUGGCGAAACCAGGUUUCUACAAAAAACGGUGGUGGCACCCACCGGUAGUCCCAGCUACUAUGGAGAAUGAGGUGGGAGGAUUGCUUGAGCCUGGGAGGUUGAGACUGAAGUGAGCUGUGACUGCACCAGUACUACAGGCUGGGCAACAAAGCAAGACUCUGUCUCUAAAAUAAAAUAAAAUAAAAUACAGAGAUGAGCAUAAAUGAUAUUUCAAGGCGCCUGCUGGAAGAUAACGUGAUAGGAAAUGCCUGUGAUUUCUUUUGGUGACAAAGUCACAAGUUCUGCUAACACUGUUGUGGUGUGUUUCUGUAUUUGUAAUGGAUUCGUGCUAGACACAAGACUGGUCCCCAGAGAUGUUCCUGAUUCCUGGACCUGGGAAUAUGUUAUGUUCCAUGGCACGAGGGACUCUGCAGAUGUGAGUAAGUUAAGGGUUUGGGAUGGGGGCGUUAUCCUGGGUUGUCCACCUGGACCCAAUGUCAUCACGAAAGUCCUUCUAAGAAGGAGGCUGGGGUCAGCAUCAUUAGCGGAAGAUGUAACCACAGAAACAGGAUGUUGGAGUGAUGUCAGGAAGGGAACCAGGGUCAAGGCAUGCUGGACACCCCCAGAGGCUGAGAAAGGAGAGAGAUCUCCCCUGCUGCUUCCAGAAGGAACCCACUCUGCUGACAUCUUGACUGUCAGAACUGUAGGAAUAGAAAUGUGCAUGCAUUUUGUUUUGUUCUUUUUGUUCAGGUAAUUUAAAUAUUUUUUUUAAUUGUGGGAAACCCACAAAAUGUACCAUCUUAUCCUUUCUAAAGCACAUUGUUCAGUAGUGCAAUUUUAUUAUUUAUUUAUUCUAUUUUUUUUUUUUUUGAGACAGGACCUUGCUCUGUCACCCAGGCUGGAGGGCACUGGCAUGAUCAUAGCUCAUUGCAGCCUUGACCUCCUAGGCUCAAGUGAUCCUCCCACCUCAGCCUCCUGAGUAGCUGAGACUACAGGUGCGUGCCAUUAGCCAGUCAGAUGCCUGGCUAAUUACUGUAUUUUUAGUAGAGAUGGGGUUUUGCCAUGUUGGCCAGGUUGGUCUCGAACUCCUGACCUCAAGUGAUCUGCCCCC